rnacentral:rRNA from 1 species
AGAGGUUUGGGAUCAUGGGCUCAGGACGAACGCUGGCGGCGUGCCUAAUACAUUCAAGUCGAGCGGACCUUUCGGGGUCAGCGGCGGACGGGUGAGUAACACGUGGGCAAUCUGGCCCAAUACUCUGGAAUAACGCUUGGAAACGAGUGCCAAUACCGGAUGGUCUUCUUGGUCGCAUGGCCGAGAAGGAAAAGACGCGUUCGCGUCGGUGUCGGAUGAGCCCGCGGCGCAUUAGCUAGUUGGUGAGGUAACGGCCCACCAAGGCGACGAUGCGUAGCCGACCUGAGAGGGUGACCGGCCACACUGGGACUGAGACACGGCCCAGACUCCUACGGGAGGCAGCAGUAGGGAAUCUUCCACAAUGGGCGAAAGCCUGAUGGAGCAACGCCGCGUGAGUGAUGAAGCCUUCGGUUGUAAACUCUGUCAUUCGGGACAACCGAAUCUGAGAAAUGCAAAC